AAACGAUAGCUAAUACCGCAUAAAAGUCGGCAUUGCAUGAUGUUGACUUGAAAGGUGCAACUGCAUCACUAAGAGAUGGACCUGCGUUGUAUUAGCUAGUUGGUGAGGUAACGGCUCACCAAGGCGACGAUACAUAGCCGACCUGAGAGGGUGAUCGGCCACACUGGGACUGAGACACGGCCCAGACUCNUACGGGAGGCAGCAGUAGGGAAUCUUCGGCAAUGGACGGAAGUCUGACCGAGCAACGCCGCGUGAGUGAAGAAGGUUUUCGGAUCGUAAAGCUCUGUUGUAAGAGAAGAACGAGUGUGAGAGUGGAAAGUUCACACUGUGACGGUAACUUACCAGAAAGGGACGGCUAACUACGUGCCAGCAGCCGCGGUAAUACGUAGGUCCCGAGCGUUAUCCGGAUUUAUUGGGCGUAAAGCGAGCGCAGGCGGUUAGAUAAGUCUGAAGUUAAAGGCUGUGGCUUAACCAUAGUACGCUUUGGAAACUGUUUAACUUGAGUGCAGAAGGGGAGAGUGGAAUUCCAUGUGUAGCGGUGAAAUGCGUAGAUAUAUGGAGGAACACCGGUGGCGAAAGCGGCUCUCUGGUCUGUAACUGACGCUGAGGCUCGAAGCGUGGGGAGCA
rnacentral:rRNA from 1 species